rnacentral:snRNA from 1 species
AUACUUACCUGGCAGGGGAGAUACCAUGAUCACGAAGGUGGUUUUCCCAGGGCGAGGCUUAUCCAUUGCACUCCGGAUGUGCUGACCCCUGCGAUUUCCCCAAAUGUGGGAAACUUGACUGCAUAAUUUGUGGUAGUGGGGGACUGCGUUCGCGCUUUCCCCUG